rnacentral:lncRNA from 1 species
CCGAGGCUAAUACUAGAACUCAAAACAAUCAAGGACCACAACAAGGAGCUGGAUCAACUAAUUAAAUGCAAUUCACACCUUAAGGUCUGAAAAAUAAAUAGACAACUAUGUCGGUACACCUGAAGAUCAAGAUGACCCAUUGUCUAAAUCAUCUUAUGAGCAAGUGACCAAUCAGACCAAAUCUAAGGAGCCAGAUAAGUCUAAGGAGUCAACAGAGAUUGA